UACGUAGGUGGCAAGCGUUGUCCGGAUUUACUGGGUGUAAAGGGCGUGUAGCCGGGCUGACAAGUCAGAUGUGAAAUCCGGGGGCUCAACCCCCGAACUGCAUUUGAAACUGUUGGUCUUGAGUAUCGGAGAGGCAGGCGGAAUUCCCGGUGUAGCGGUGGAAUGCGUAGAUAUUAGGAGGAACACCAGUGGCGAAGGCGGCUUACUGGACUGUAACUGACGUUGAGGCUCGAAAGCGUGGGGAGCAAACAGG
rnacentral:rRNA from 1 species